rnacentral:rRNA from 1 species
GACGAACGCUGGCGGCGUGCUUAACACAUGCAAGUCGAACGGAAAGGCCCUGCUUUUGUGGGGUGCUCGAGUGGCGAACGGGUGAGUAACACGUGAGUAACCUGCCCUUGACUUUGGGAUAACUUCAGGAAACUGGGGCUACUACCGGAUAGGAGCUCCUGCUGCAUGGUGGGGGUUGGAAAGUUUCGGCGGUUGGGGAUGGACUCGCGGCUUAUCAGCUUGUUGGUGGGGUAGUGGCUUACCAAGGCUUUGACGGGUCGCCGGCCUGAGAGGGUGACCGGCCACAUUGGGACUGAGAUGCGGCCCAGACUCCUACGGGAGGCAGCAGUGGGGAAUAUUGCACAAUGGGCGGAAGCCUGAUGCAGCAACGCCGCGUGCGGGAUGACGGCCUUCGGGUUGUAAACCGCUUUCGCCUGUGACGAAGCGUGAGUGACGGUAAUGGGUAAAGAAGCACCGGCUAACUACGUG